rnacentral:rRNA from 1 species
UACGAAGGGGGCUAGCGUUGCUCGGAAUUACUGGGCGUAAAGCGCACGUAGGCGGUCUUUUAAGUCGGGGGUGAAAUCCUGGAGCUCAACUCCAGAACUGCCUUCGAUACUGGAGAGCUCGAGUCCGGGAGAGGUGAGUGGAACUGCGAGUGUAGAGGUGAAAUUCGUAGAUAUUCGCAAGAACACCAGUGGCGAAGGCGGCUCACUGGCCCGGUACUGACGCUGAGGUGCGAAAGCGUGGGGAGCAAACAGG